UACGGAGGGUGCGAGCGUUGUCCGGAAUCACUGGGCGUAAAGGGCGCGUAGGCGGCGCGAGCAGUCGGCGGUGAAAGCCCGGAGCUCAACUCCGGGUCGGCCGUCGAUACUCUCGUGCUUGAGCACUGUAGAGGCAGGUGGAAUUCCGGGUGUAGCGGUGGAAUGCGUAGAGAUCCGGAAGAACACCGGUGGCGAAGGCGGCCUGCUGGGCAGUAGCUGACGCUGAUGCGCGACAGCGUGGGGAGCGAACAGG
rnacentral:rRNA from 1 species